GUUUUUGGUAUCCUGCUAAAUAAUGCAUUCUCUUAAUUAAAUAUAUGCAAAUAUAUUUAGCUUUUUGGCACUGAAUAAAUUCCAGGUUCAUAAUAAUUCUGGAAAUGUUUGCUAUUCUUAGUAUUUCAUUUGGCAAAAUGAUGUAUAGCUUCUGAAUCAGGAAAUGGGUUCACACUUACUUUCAGUCACUUACUGUGUGUGUUUGUGCCAUUAGCUUCUUCUCCAACUUGACAUUAGUGAAUGGCUCUAUCCGCCUAUCAUUUAUACCUCUGAUACAAUACUAUUUCAUUGUAGUACCUUUUUCAUGCUUUUAAUUCAUACAUUUAAUUAUUUCCGGACUGCAGGUUUCUCUAGAGUGUAAGUUUCUUGAAGGAAUGAAUAAAUUUUCUAGAACUUGGACACCCUGGGAAGCUAGCCUGGCUCUUGGCAUUAUUUGUGAGCAUACAAAAUCCAAAGGUAUUUUCCUCAGCAAAGUUUGUAUCACUAGGAAUAAUCACAAGAAAUAUAUUUAGGUUUAAUAUUUAGGUUUGCUUUAUAUUCUGAAUAGGACAUUUCAUGGAUUAUUUUGACUCAUUUUAAUUCAAAGAUAAUUUGAAUUACACCCAAAACCAUCAGUCCUAGGAGCUAUUUUUUUUUUCUGGAAGAAUUCAAUUCAAUAGAGGUAUUCAAUAACUGUCUCACACUGAACCAUCAUCAGAUCAAAAUAUUUCACCAGAGUGGUAGAAUUUUGCAUUGAUUUUCCAAAUGUUUUUAAUUUCCUUGAUUUGAAUGCCAGGGGCAUUUGGCUUAUCUCCUUUUACUUAAUGAAUCAUGAAACAAACAUGGUUAUCAGAUGAACCUACAAUAUUUGAAAAGAGUAGCUUUAUUUAUAAAGGCUUACAUCAACUCAUAUGCAAAAAGGUGGAGACAUUCAAGGUGACCACCCUCAGUGACUGGAUUCAUUAUUCAGUUUUUGCCUUUUCCUUAUCAUCCAUCAUUUUCUCUGUCUCACUACAGAAUGUCAAGGCUAGAAAGGACCUUUCGGGUCUCUGCUCCCACAUUUCUUACAUUCUUGUUUUAUAAAUAAGGGAACAGUCCAGGAAGGCUUAGUGAAUCUCCUAAGGAUAAACCACUUACAGGACUACAAGUGAAAGCCAGACUCCAAAGUUUUCAUAUCAUCUGGCCCUGCCUAUCAGCCUGACUACUCUCUACCUGUAUCCCCUCUCACUUUUCUCUAGCUACACAUGACUUUUUGUGGCUCAGACACUUUAGACUCACCCCUCUCCGAGGGAAGAAGUUGUUUGUGGUUUGGUUGCUAAGUUACGUCCGACUCUUUGUGACCCCAUGGGCUGGAGCACGCCAGGGUUCCCUGUCCUUCACUCUAUUCUGGAGUUUGCUCAAAUUCAUGUCCAUUGAGUUGGUGAUGCUAUCUAACUGUCUCAUCCUCUGCUGCUGUCUCCUCCUUUUGCUUUCAGUCUUUUCCCAGCAUUUGGAUCUUUUCCAGUGAGUUGGCUCUUCUCAUCCGGUAGCCAAAGUAUUGGAGCUUCAGCUGCAGCAUCAGUCCUUCCAGUUAAAUAUUCAGGAAUGAGAUAAUAACACUUAACAUUUGUGUCUGUCUCAAAUGCCUACAUGGUUUCUGACUCUUUUACCAAAUAUCAAUACCACCUCUAUUUCACUAUAUUUCCUUAGCCGCCUUCAGUUUCCUGCUUUAUAUUUAUUAUCUGAAAGUUUAAUGCUUAAUUAUUUGGUUUCUACUAUUGUUGUUUAUCUCCAUCAUUGAAAUGUAAGUCCACAAACAGAGAAUUAUUUAUCUUUCCCCAUUUCUAGAACAGAAGCUAGCCUACUAUAAAUGUCCAGUAAAUAAUUAUUACAUGAAUGAAUGAGUGAAUGAAUGAAUCCCAUUCUUAACAAUCUCAUGCAAAAUGGUCAAGUGUAUGGGCUUUGGCUUCAGAUACAAUUGACAGCUAUGCCAUUUCCAUGAGUGCAUCCUUGGGUGGGCAGUUAACCAUUCUAAGCUGUAACUUUCUCAGCUGCAAAAUGGAUUACUUGUCUUGAAGGUUUUGAGAAGGUUAAAAUGAUAUGAUGCCUAUAAGGCAUUUUCCCCAGAGCCUGUGUUUUGCAUAUUUAAUUAAAAUUUAACCAUUAAUAUUAUUCUAUCAGCCAUCUUCAAGUUAUUUCUAGAGGAGACUGUGUCAUUUAAAACUCAUUGUAGGAGUGACAUCAGCAAAAUGGUAGGAGUUUUCUACCAUCCUCCCCUCCAAACCCACAAUUCUGACAAUUAUUCACCUAUGAAUGACUUUGGGGAAGUCAGGGUGUCCAGUGGAGAUGUUUGAGCACACUAUUGAAACAAAAACAAUCCAAGAUUAGACACAUUGAGAAGAGUCAGAAUAGCAGUUUCACCUCCUUCCAAGGAGGCGGAGUGCAGUGCCAAAAGAGACCUUCUUGACCUAUGAUUUCUUUCAGGGGUUAAACUGAGAGCUUGUGAGUGCACUUCUGGCUUCCCAGCUAUAAGAGAUACUGCCAAAGUAGCUCACUUUGUUCUUGUUCCAUCCAGAAUGCUAAGAUGUGCUGCAUAACUGGGGGCAGGGAGGGGCUAGGAGAACAACAGUUAGGGUUCUUAGAGGGCAUCAAAAGGAAGGUAGAUCCUACUAACCACUUCAUGGAUUCCAUCAGGAAGCCUGCCUAUGAGCAGCUAAGGACACCUGACCUGUGGAUUCCCUGUGCUGGCACAUAGUCACACCCUGUGCUCCACAUGCCUCAUUGACACAGACCUGAAUCCUGUGGCUGGUUCCUCUUGUGUCCUCCAGAGAGCUGAAACUGAAAUGCAGAGGGAUCAACUGAUCUUCUUAAGGUCACAGACUACUGUGUUUAAGAAGUCUCUCAUCAGGGUUUUCAAACUGUGACAUUUGACUCCAAAGCCUUUGUCCUAACCCUGGGGAUAAAGAGAGAGAAAAACAUAUUUAGUAAAUAAAUGAACAAAAAUAAUCAAUUGCAGAUCAGAACAGAGAUUUUGUUGUAUAUAAGUUUUCCAGGGCAUCAAACAAAGGACUUGGUUUGUUCUUUCUCCCCACUCCCCCCCUUUCCUCUUCUUUCCUUCAUCCGUC
ensembl:lncRNA